AUGGUGGCAGCAGCUCUGACAUUCGUGUGUCCUCACAUACAAACCCCAAGGCAGGCUGGGCCCUGUCUCCUUGAUUCUCUCUCAUUUUCUUUCUUUGGAGGGAGGACGCUUUCCCAGAAGCCCCAGAGGUUGGGAAAGCCUGGUACUUCCAGGCUCGGGCGUGGGAAGCGAAGCCCUGUCUGUGGGAAACAGGGAGAGGGCAGGCCAGGGUGGUGGUCUGGCGGGGGGUGGGGGUGUGGCUGCUGGUGCAAAGUGAAGACCCUGCUCACGGGUGUGUGCAAACACGUGCGCUUCCACCUGCAUCUGAGUCUGAUGGGUGGGAACAUCCCCAGGGUACGUGUGCAGGGCCCGGGCCUCAGGGCCCGAGGUCACCAGGCUGGGACUGGCUUUCUAACCCUGCAUGGGGCUGCGGGGAGUUAUAGCGUCAGAUCUGUGUUUCAAAAGGCACCCAGAAGGCAGCCUAGGAAGUGCGUCCUGGGUUCCCAGCCUGUUGUAAUGAUCCGGGUAAGAGCUGAGGCUGCCAUGGGAUUGACAGGUCGGAGGGUGGUUGGGGACAAGAGAGCAACUUCCCUUCUUCUGGUCUCCUGUCUCCUUUGCUGCCUCUUCCUUCUUCUCUCCUCUUCCUCCUCCAGUCAGGGAGCACCCCUGACUCAGUCCUGGGCCCUUUCUCCGCAUCUAGCUCCACGCACUUCCUAUGUGAUCUCAUCUUGUCCUGUGGUUUCAAAUACUUUUUAUAUGUCAGUGAUCCCCAAAGAGGUGACUCCAAGCCGCGACUCUCCCCUGAACUCUGGACUUGUGCCCCUGCUAUCUCCCCAUGGAGGCCAUGAGCCUCUCUCUGGCAUCGCUUCCAAAUCCAGUUUUCCUUGUUCUCCUCCUCCUCAUCCUCCAGAACCACUGUGCACCCAGAGGCUAAGCCCAAGCCAGCUUUUUCCCAUCCCACUUUCUGUUGUGUCUGCAAAUCCCGUGGCCUCAUCCCUCUACUUGGGCCUCUGCUACUCUGGUCCUGUUUACCCUUUCUUCUCACUCUGA
rnacentral:lncRNA from 1 species